rnacentral:rRNA from 1 species
CAACCGGGAUUGCCUUAGUAACGGCGAGUGAAACGGCAAAAGCUCAAAUUUGAAAUCUGGUACCUUCGGUGCCCGAGUUGUAAUUUGGAGAGGGCAACUUUGGGGCCGUUCCUUGUCUAUGUUCCUUGGAACAGGACGUCAUAGAGGGUGAGAAUCCCGUGUGGCGAGGAGUGCGGUUCUUUGUAAAGUGCCCUCGAAGAGUCGAGUUGUUUGGGAAUGCAGCUCUAAGUGGGUGGUAAAUUCCAUCUAAAGCUAAAUAUUGGCGAGAGACCGAUAGCGAACAAGUACAGUGAUGGAAAGAUGAAAAGAACUUUGAAAAGAGAGUGAAAAAGUACGUGAAAUUGUUGAAAGGGAAGGGCAUUUGAUCAGACAUGGUGUUUUGUGCCCUCUGCUCCUUGUGGGUAGGGGAAUCUCGCAUUUCACUGGGCCAGCAUCAGUUUUGGUGGCAGGAUAAAUCCAUAGGAAUGUAGCUUGCCUCGGUAAGUAUUAUAGCCUGUUGGGAAUACUGCCAGCUGGGACUGAGGACUGCCACNUAAGUCAAAGGAUGCUGGCAUAAUGGUUAUAUGCCGCCCCUCUUGA